rnacentral:rRNA from 1 species
UACGUAGGUGACAAGCGUUGUCCGGAUUUACUGGGCGUAAAGAGCGCGCAGGCGGUCGAUCAAGUCGAGUGUGAAAGCCCCCGGCUCAACUGGGGAGGGUCAUUCGAAACUGGUCGACUCGAAGGCAGGAGAGGGUAGUGGAAUUCCCGGUGUAGUGGUGAAAUGCGUAGAUAUCGGGAGGAACACCGGUGGCGAAGGCGGAUCUCUGGGCCUUACCUGACGCUGAGGCGCGAAAGCUAGGGGAGCGAACAGG